GUUUGAUCAGAAAGGUUUUCGCAGUCGUUGAGAGUGGUACUGUUUCUAGAAUCUCUGGCAGCACAAUAGUAAAGUGUGUGUGGUAGUCCCAAGUUAUUCAAAGUUGAUGUAUUAUCCCAUAUAUGGAGUGUGCACAGUUGGCAAAAGUCUUCAAAGUUUAGUGAAUGUUUAGUUUUGCUCUUGUUCUUCAAGUCGCUCGAGUUGAACGCCGCGGUGCAAGAGUUCUGAAACAGUACCAAAUGAGACAGUGAUGCACCUUUCCGACCAUCCGACCAUCGGGGCUUGCUCUCAAUCGGCUUGGAUGUCGUCAGGAAACAAACCUAAUUUCAAUUUUGCUUUCAGAUAGAACUAACGAAAAGUUCUGAAGGGGGCUUACCUAGAGAAAACGUCACCAAGUUUGGGUAUCACAAUCCUUUUUGUUGUGCGCACGGGAACGAAUGCAUUUUCGAAUGGGAGGGACGGAGAGAAGUUACUUGGCCAUCUCCAUAGAAUGAUUCACGAUAAAAUUCCAAGCGUAUGAUCGAGUGUGAGAGAGCUUGCCAGAAAACAUGUGUUCAGGGCCUUCCACUGCUGCUACUGCUGCUAUCGCUGCUCGCAAAGCUGGUGUUUUCCGAUGCCGAGUUGUGACAAAUGCUACUACUCCACUGCCUAUGAAGGAAAGGACCGCACGUCAGUGGACCAUCUUCUGAAGCAGAGUGGGGAAACGGUACACGUCACGCCAACACGGAUCUCCACAAGCGAACCAAGUAGUUACUAGACGCGAAAAUCACACGUCGGUGAAACUUUGUUGUUAGCAAGCGGCGACAGCGUCAAGGCAACAAGUGAGCGAAGAAGGAAGAAUGAGUGAGAACGAUCGUCUAUGGGAGGUAACACGUGAGGGAGAAAUUCGAACAUGAGUCCCAGUCGUCUGACGUCAUAACAGUAAGCACACACUUGUGUGAUUACGAUGGUAUCGGUGGGCCGGCCGCCGGUUUGUUUUUAAUCCGAUUUUGUAUCUUUCAUGAGCCUGAAACCAUAUCAGAUAUAGGGAGAGCGACUCGUCAGAGAAAAUGGCAGAUAUUGAGGGGAGCGAAAAAGAGAUCUAUUGUUUUGCAGAGGUUACUCGAGGUUCUUCAGCGUCACGGAUGACGUCGAGAUUAGGCUUCUACUGUCGUAGCGACCGAUUACAUAUUGAUCAAGGGAGUGAAUAGCGAUAACGGGACCACUGACCACAUAAAGAUGGAAAAGAGAUCAAAAUCGUGGUAACUAGCGCUGAUGUUUUUUUUCCGACGAGAGUUUUUUCGAGUUUGCAGAGAUUUUUGCCCAGAGCGUAGACAACAAAAUUAAAUUUCAACUGCAUCACUUCGUUAUGACACCCGCCAUUAAGAAAGCAUGGAGAUCGUUUGCGUAGAUUAUGUGUACCAUCUCUUCAGCUAGCUGAAUUACGAUUAAUCUUGAGGUAAAGUGAUAACACACGUUUAUCAGAUCAUCGCGCCUUUAUUUUCUUGCAGAAAAGAGUAUUUGGUAGAUUUUUAUCAGACGACUCGAUUAGCAAACUUAUGAGGAUAAGGCGAAUCAACUGCUUUUAGUUUGAAAAGGCGAAUGUAAGAUAGAUAAUUCCCUUUAAUGCGAGUCCUGUUAUCGGAAAUGUAGUACGAGCUAGAACAGAAAUCAAUGUAGACGUGUGGAAACCGUCUUGACAUGCAACAAAACGAAGAUUUUAUUACUUUUCCAGUUCAAAUCAUCUGAGAAGAUUCCCUGCCCCGAGUAGUUUACAGUUCUUGUGUUCAGACUUCCAGUUCAUCACGAUCCAUUGGAAAACCAUAAGAACAAUGGUGGUAAUCAAUGCAAACAACUUUUGGAAACAAAAAUAUUUCAUCUUUGCAGAAAAUUUUGAAAAUGGGGUUCGUCUAUGCGUAGAAAAUGUUUCUUUUCCCCUUUCUUCGGAUCAUCUUAGAUAAGGUCGUCUGCCAACAGGAUGCACUACGGCUCGAUGCCAAAUCGAUUUGCAACACAAACAUCCCCUAAGCGCAUUAUUCUGGUAACAUAUAGCCACAGCAUUCCCACACCAAGAAACGUUUGUCUCGUUUAUAUAGCGACACAUCUAUCCUCCGGUCCGGUUCAGCUUCCACUCGAAGUGAACCGAGUUUCUAUGUUUCACCUCUUUAUUAUUCCACUCACCAAACGGAAGCAUCUUUGGAAGACGAACAGAAACAAACACCGCCUUAAUCGAACGAAGCAACAGCAUGGUACUCUCAUCGGUCGUUGAUCGCCGCAGGGACCACUUGGCUACGGAACAAAAGAUCGCGGGAGUUACGCACGAGCUCGGUAAACCUGCCAGUAGGCACAGAUAUCUAUCCCCAAAACCCGAGUUUUCGUCUUUACAGUCUUCUUCCGGAAUUUGGUCCGGCUCUCCGUGCAAGGAAGCCGAGUUUCUCUGUUUAUUAUUUUGUGUGUCUCAUUUCUUUCUUACGCAAUGACACUCAAGAAGCAAGAGAAAGGGUAUCGAAACGAGGAAUUUGAUCUACCGAUGGCCAAACAGACCAAGACUGAUAGUGGAGGAUUCCCUCGCGCAGGGCAUUACGCGCAUUGAGGCUGCCAGGAGAUGUUCAAUCACGUAAACGCACACACCUGAUGAGCAUGCGGCGCUUUCUAUUCUCUAUCUGGUCCGGCUUUUAAAAUCAGCCGAGUUUCUUUGUUUUUUUUUGUUUUUAUUCUUCACAUUAUCUAUUCCUAACCCCCACCCGAACUCAUUUUGCGAGAGGAUUUGCACAAAAAUACGAUACGAUGCAAGAAGGACACCCAUCGGCCAGGGAACGUACGGAACUUUGUUUCGGUGGAAGGCCAACACCAGAGCGUGGUAAUCUUGGAUAGUUUUUGCCGCAACCAGAAUCAUCUUAUUUUCCAGUAAACAUCCCCAAAAACAUCUGAUCAAGCGAUAAGAAUUGUUCUACAAUUGCUUUUACAAGCUCUCUCCCCACUGCUAGGAAGCGAUUUCUGGAGAACGAACCCCAAACAACAGACGUAAGCCAUAAUGUGAUUUAGCAGAAAACAGAAUUUUACUUUUUACAGAGACAGAAUUUUACCGACCGACGAUCACUUCUCGCUAAUGAAUUGAUAAUGAAUCACUGUGUCCUCGACACAAGAAGCUGUAGGCUCAGAAUUAAGGAAUCAAUUCCGAACAUCGGAAGCGUAAGCACAUUGUAUUUUUCCCAAGACAAGAGUUUUCAUAUUUACAGUGCCGAGCUUGAAAGUAGGCCAUGUUGAGAUCCAUCAAUUUUUGAGUCCAGUCGCGAAACAGUUCUGCUCGAUAUUUGAACCUAACCCGCCAAAGGGCGAAGAAUGGAAGCUAAGGCGGUAACCCGGUAUAAAAUACACUCCCGACAACAAGAGUUUUAGUUUUUUACAGAAAUUUCAUUGACCAAAUUGGAAGCGAAAUACGAUUAUUAAUCGUCUGCGCAAUAACAAUUUGACGUGUGUGGCAUUUCGGUUCGAGGUUAUGUGCGGUUCGUGCUUGAGCGUUAGACCUUGUUGCGGUUCAUCACCAUCCAUCCACUCGUCGUCCCUGCCUGCACACAUUACUUGGUACUUAACAUGGGGCCCUCCGGCAUCAAUAUCCUCAAGUCAGUCAGUCCCACCCCCAUCAGCGAACGGAAUCUUCAUGAAACGCGCUUGUGGUGGUAGCUAUGCUAAUAUGUUCUACUCUUUUACAGUCUGUUUUUCGUUAACUAAGCCUAAUCUUCAAGUAGUGAUGCGUUAGAUGUGAUGUGUUUAUGGUAGUUUCGUGUUUAAUGAGCCACAGCACACAGAAAAAGUGCGCAUGUGCGUCGGCGGGCUCAUUUUUGGGUUUUUUGUUAUCUUUAGCAGAAGUGUUACAUUCUAAUAACCAUAAUAAUGAUGAUACUCUCCACUAGAUUUAACAGUGAUUACAUAUGCAUUUAUUCUUGGCUUUGUUUUUCUGUAUGGAGCAAUAAUUACUGGCUGUGAAUUAUAAUCAUAGAUUUAUAGGUUAGGUACAACAGAUGUGAAGAAAAACAUGGCACGCUUAGACUAAGGCUGUGUUUUUGGGCUUUUUGUAACAUAUUCUCACUUUUCAUACUGCCUAGAAAUUCUGGAAACGUUAUGUAAUCCUCAUACAUUUAUAUAUUUAUAGUCAUAGAUGCUUUCUGUUCAAGCACUCGAAUGAGAAGAAAAUCAUGUUGUAAAAUUAGCACCUUAAGGAGUGAAUUACCUUUGUAGUUGUUGGCAUAACUAACCCAAAGUAAACACACUAAGCAUUUUGUUAUUUCAUGUGCAUUGGAGAGAAGAAAACUGUUCGAAAUAUUAACCCUGAGAUUCGUGGAAUAUCUAGAAAAUGGUGUGAAACGUUCAGCUAGCAGAAGCUUUUAGCCAAUGUUUGUGAAUGUAAGAAAAUGUGUAAAGAAAAGUAAUCGUAGAAUUGUGUUACUUCUCACGAAGCAAAAAUGUGAACCCAAAUGAAUUUGGAUGUUAUGUUUGUGAUCUUGACGAAUCAAUGUGAAUUAACCGGGAAUGUCCAAUACAGGAACCCGAGUGCGCUAGAUGUCCGAUUGUGACGAAGCUACUGAAAUUGUAAAAGUUAUGACUCGUGAAGUUUUAUGUAUCCGAGACAUAGGAUCGAUUGUAGUGGGCUCGGUCUUUUUCGGAACGAUCCAGCCAGCACACAAUCAAAAGUUGUGAUGAGAAAAAUAAGUUUUGUGCAGUUAAAAGAAGAGUGGAUGUAGUGGGCUCGGUCUUCUCCGGAACGACCCAGCCAGCACUCAUCCAAGUUUAGAAUCGAAUCACUAUGGAAAUAAUUUUUCAGAUCGAAAGUUCAAAGUUAGAUAUUGUACUUGUGAAUUUGGCGAUCCUGGUUAUAUAAGGAAUCAAUGUGAAUUAAGCGGGUUUGUCCAAUACAGGAUCCCGAGUGCGUUAGUUGUUGAACUGUGAUGGAAAUAUGGAAAUUGUAAAAGUUAUGGCUCGUGAAGAUUUGUGAACUGAGGAUAUAGAAACGAUUGUAGUGGGCUCGGUCUUCCUCGGAAUGAUCCAGCCAGCACACAAUCAAAAGUUUUGAUGAAAAAAAAAUGUCUCGAUAGUUAUAAUUGAAUAUUUUUGAAUAUAAAAUUGGUGCAGUUAAGAGAAGAGUGCAUGUAGUGGGCUCGGUCUUCUUCGGAACGACCCAGCCAACACUCAUCCAAGUUGUGAAUUGAGCCACUAUGAAAAUUGUUGUCCGUAUUGAAAGUUCAAAGAUAGAUAUUAUGCUUGUGAAUUUGGCAAUCCAGGUUAUACCACCUCAGUCCUCUCCGGAGGGACCUGAAGUAGGUAAAUUUGAGUGAUAAAAGAAGAAAGACGAAGAAUUAAAUUAACUCGAAUGUGUGUUAUAGGUGCUCGGCAUUUGUAUGCUUUACAAAUCUGUUUGAAGUUUAUAUGAUAAAAAUAAUUCAUAUUCACAGUUUUUGAUAGUGUUCUGACAGCUAUUUUUGAAGUUUUGUAUCUGAAUUUGUGAUUUACGUGAAAUUAUUAGCAAUACUUUUUCCCCUAAACUUUUCCUUAAAUUUUAUUGCAGAGUGCAUAUUUAUUGGAAAUGUUCGCACAUUUAAUGUGGAGUAUUUACUUUUGUGAUUGAGUUGAAUUGUACAGUGAUCUGAUAUGUGAAAAUGGCUUAUGAUAUUCAACCAGUAUUAAUUGUAAUUCGGCAAAAAACCUACACUCAAAUGUAAUUGUGUUUUUUUAUAUGAGGCUUGCAAUUGUAUCCAAAGGGCAUACCCUUUCUGUAUUUUGAAUAUUGUUAUGCCAUAGUGCAUCCUAGCUACUACCAUUAUUACUAUCUUAGUGUAUCAUAUGUGACAAAAUUGGCGUUAAGACGCAGUUUGAGCAUGCUUCAUGAAACGCGCAAGAGUAGAGCACAGCGCCCCACACGAGAAGUCCACUGAUGAGAGGUGAUGACAUAGUUUCCGGAGUCACUUACACCCCCCACCAUCUGUACAGCGCAAUUCUACCUGGUUUGGCACAGAUUCUGUACUUCAAUCAUCACCAUUCAUCCGUAUUAUGACCUGUCUGCCUGUCUGCCUGUUACACACGAUACAGUACCAUUGCUUUUGAAUGAUGACGAGAUAACCGAAAACUACAGGAAGUGAUGAAUCCUUUACCGCAAGAAGACGUCUAAUGCGCAAACCCGGUCGGCAUUUCCACGAGCAUUCCGAAACUUUUCGAUAAACACGCGAUCGAAACCCGGUAAACCCUGAACCCUUUUAACGUAACAAUGUCGAAGCCCCCGUGUGUUUUCUUUUAUUUUCAGAUACAUCCAUAUAUUUUCCCGCAUGGUUUGCACCGUUACUAUGCGAUUUGUAAUGAUCCAAUCCGGCACUCGAAUAGGCUUUACUCUACUCUCCCUCUUGUAUGCGUGUGGUGUUUUCCCGGCCUUGGGGCGCGCCGAUCGAUCCGGUCUUUGCCAGGAGCGUGCGUUGGCGCAACUAUCCGAGGUGUGGGCUAUUGAGAAAUUCAUCCGAUUUGGGCCUUGGGCUUGCUUUUCCGGGUGGUUCGCUUGGCGCCGUCAUGGGCAUCUACUGUUGCUGCGGUACAAGGAGAUGACUUUAUGGCGUACUGCUGCGAGCUGCGUGCAAAUCUUUGGCGACUUUAACAGUUCUGGAUGUGGUAUCCGAGCAUCUUUUGGGAGCGAAAGACGGCGCAUACAGAGUGGAGUGAAAGUGAUUUAUCAAAAAAUGAAAUGCAGAUUAUUGACCCCCCUGGGAUGAAAUGAGUAGCAGUUUAACGUCUUGAGGAAAUUUUUACAUCGUGGUGCAGUUCACAUCGAGUUACUUUGAAUUGGAUGAUAGUGGACCGACAACAGGAUCCAGAAAAUACAUUCCGAUUAUUUUUGUCGACAAAAUGUUAGCAGUUUAUACAACAUCAAUAUGUUGCGAAUUUACCAAGAAAAUCAGCUUAAGAACGAGAAUCAGUUUGACGAGUUUCCCAGAUACAAAGCCAACGGCACAUGAUACUGAGGAAUCGCUACAACUUUCCGUCCGGGAAUAUCUAGCACAAGUUGCUAAUGUCAGUUACAAUCAGCAAUCGUUCAGAAAUCAGUGAAAAUUUCAUCACUACUCCAGUUUAAAAUAUAACCUGGGGAUAUCCAAAAGUUCCGAUGUUUUUAAAAGUGUUUAAAAAGUUGUUUGAACCAGUUUAUGAUCAAUCCUUCAAAUCAGUAGAAGACAAUCGAAGCUUUGAAGGGCAAUAUUUCAAGCUUGCGCAGUGAUGUUCUUGCUCACCGACAAAAAUGUCUUGUUCCGGGAAGCCGUUCGAGCAGUGCCCUAUACAAUCUGAAGGGCUUAACUGCGUAAAAUAGGAUCAACCAGAUAGAAAACAAUCAGCAGAAAAUUUUUAAACGUUCUCGACAUUCGAAAUAGUAUCUGUGGGUUAACUACAACUUCCAAAAGCUAUAUACCUCAACCAUGCUUCUGGUCGACAAAAAAAUGGUAGUUUAGACAGCAUCAAAAUGACCUGUUUCCAAGGUACCGUCCGCUGAUACCUAUCACAAGUUGUGAUAAGCAAUCGUUCAACAUUCGACCCCAAAUUCAGCUGAGAUACACCCUGAUCAGAUCCAAUAAUGCCCUGAUGCAUUCUAAAGUGUUUAUGAAAAGUCAUCAGAUAACCAAUCUACGUUGAAAUUAGAGUUACGUAAGUGGCUUCAUCCAUCCAAGGCCAUCGAGGCUUCAACCGUGCAAUACUUCAAGCUUAUGCAGUGAAAUUCAUUCAUCCGGAAUGUUUUGUUCCGAGUUGUUCCCUGUGCAUUAUUAAGGAGUGAAAUGCGGCACUUAUCAGAACAAAAAUAAUAAGCAGAAUGUCUAGAAAUGUUUUCAAACAGAAUUUGAGAUUCGUCAUUGAAUGUACAAAACAACGAAACAGAAAUUUCCUUCACAACAACCCCCUGGAAGUCUGCCCAAUCAAAGAGAGUCCAUCAAUUCUCUCAACUUGAGUGAGUGAUUGUCCGACGUUUCCGUUGAAAAAAAAUACACCAAACAUCGUCCAGUAAUCGCAUUAGGGCGAAAAAUCGCAGAACCAUCUGAAUCCUGCAUUCUACGGGAAGCAAGAAAUUCAAAGUGGCAUUAGAAAAUUCGUAAUCCAGCCGCUGGAUUCAAGCUAAUCUACUUAAGUGUCGACCAUCCCGUUUUAGUUCAGAAAAUUUUCUGAAAACGUAAACAUCAAACGUUAAAGUGGAAAUUUCGGUGAGAAAUAAUCUUCGUUUAACGGGAAAAAGCAUUAUUGGAAUCCCGUUCUUGUGAGCAUAAAUCAUCAAUAAACGUAUCAUAAUGCUACAUAUAGCGAAAUCCAAUCGCAACAAAAUAAUUGAAAAAGCUUUCUAUGUGGUCAUUAGCAACAAUUUUGAUAGAUGAUCAUCAGGAAAUUAUUGGCUUAACACGCCUUCAACCAAUUGCGGUUUCGUCAUUAAAAUUAUUGAACGACGCUUACCGCUUACAAUGGAUAAUCAUGUAUUGAGGAUGCCCAAUUUGAGCCCAUCUCAUUGUCUUGGGAUUGAGGAAUUCGAACCAACCGGUUUACGGCAGUCGAUCGACUCAUUCAUCGAGGAUAUUUAUUUCCGGAAGGUAGCAGAACUUGUGCCCAGCACUCCAUAUUGGAUCGAAAAUAGUGUGUGACAUCUUAGAAAAGCCACUUUUUGAAGCUUUUGAUGCCCAUCCAAGAAUGAUCAGCGCUUCCGACCAAUGCUCAUUCAAUGAAUCAACAAAACGGCGGAGCAUUCUGCUGUUUCAAAACAACCUGCGGAGCAGCCGCAUGAAGAGGCACCGAUAAGUGUUCAAAGUCCCUUUGGGCUAGUGCCAGUGAGAGGCCAUUGCCAAGUUAAAGUGAAAAUGUUACGAUUCGCUGUGAGUUUUUUCCGUGGAACCAGCGACGAAAGUCGAAAAUUUUUAAAUCCAAGUGUAAGAAAAUUUCCAAAAGCUGAAGCGAGUUGGAGGAGCUCCGAAGAGCUAACGUAAAGUGGUCACAUGAAGCAUGUUUACACAUCUAUAAAGUGGGAGAGUGUCAUUACCAUGCGAUAAGAUGUAGAAAAAAAAGUUUUUCGAAGAUUUUGUGUGUGCUUUGAAGCAAGUUAUGCGUUUCUACAAGAAGAUGUGUUUAAGAUAAGUGAAUCCCAACGGGGCUAAUCUUGCUGGAGGAAUUCCAUUGUCAAUUUUUCGAGGAGAAUCAAUCCGUUAUCUCGUGAGCUGAACGAAAACGACGUUGUCAUCAGAAGGCUGUUUAAGCACUAAUUUCUUCACCAUCUUCAAACGAAGAGAAUUUUUGCCUAUAAACAGACUUCAGUUCAAUUGGGAAGAUUUACUUCGUAUACGACACCAAUGCAAUGAAAUUACAACGCCUGCGAAAAGAAUUAUGUUGUCCACAUUCGCCAUCGUUCGUAUUGCUGCUGUACCUGAGGAGAUUUUUUCUGCACGCGCACGUAACAUGACAAACAGAACCACGAAGGGAGAAACCACCUGCACAUCGCGAUUACACAAGUACCAAGAGGUCGAGACAGAACUCUCUUUCUCCCACCCACUACCCGAGCAUCCCUUGUCCUAUCACUGGAAAAGAUUCGAUUUCACCCGGUUUGUUCCUUCGGGGACGACCCGGGUCACCAGAGGCACUCUUUCGAGCGGUUUCCAAUCUUUGGACGGCGUUUCAACCUUUCCCUCAAAACAAAAAAACCAUGCUCCAAUGGAAUAUUUUUUUAGGAUUAGUCGACGAUAAAAACACCUCUGCGGCAUAUAUGAAUAGAUCACACGGAAUAAAAACACCUCGAGAUCGAAAAUACAACACCCAGAAAUCUAGCGGCAUGCAGAUAUCGAAAACAAAAAAAAAUACGCACAUCUCUAAACCUCAUAUCUUUUCCUAUCUCUCGAGAGCAGCAGCUGUACUACCACUGUAUAUCGACGUCGUUCGUUUCGUUUCCAACACUGGUCGAACUGGUUCUCAAGCCAGGCGAUCUUUUACCUAGAGGCUGGAUGCCCCAUCCAAAGAUUUCCGGAAAGGGUGCCCCAAGAAAUUGUUCUUUUUCUUCGUAUAUCCCCGUAUAACCCGUGCUGUAGAGCCAAACGACGACGAUGACACUUUAUAGACACCCACACACACACACACACUGAGAAGACACAGGAUAGCCCAGGCAAGCGUGAAGAGGAUGCAGAAAGUCGCGAGAAGAUGGGCUGCGUUUCAGGAGCAGUGACGGCGGCGGUGAGCUGAGGUCGUGCUCGGCAAGCGAGAAGAGCUUCGGACACGGACCGUGUCCGAGGUGGCCAGCGAGAAGAGAGCAUGAUCCAACGGUGGGACUGGACCGGAGCCGGAGUGAAGGAAGAUUACACACCAUGGUCGGCAAGCGAGAAGAGCUUCGGUACGGUCGGUGCCGAAGUGGCCAGCGUGAAGAGACCUUGGCACCGGAUGGAUUUCGUUUUCUGUGACGGCUCUCUGGGUUGCUUUUCUCCCGCCUUUGAUUGACUUGACUUGGGCGAGGUUCCUCUACUGAAGCAGAUGUAUUUUGUUUUUGGAAAAAUUGGAUCUCCAAUGAUCACCAAUCAGUAACUCCAGUAACCCAUAAAAUGUAUCGAACAAAGGGUUGAAAGCGAUUUCAAAAUUCAAUAGCAGUAGCUUUUUAUCAGAAUAGAAGACGCGAUUCGUUUUUAAUACGUAAAGUCAACUAUGUUCCGCGAAGCUUAACGUUAAAUAAGACAAAUAAGACUGAUAAAUUACAACCACCAAAAGACUGAUAGCAAACAAUGAAUACUUUAAUAUUCAAAAAAUAUAUUUUAAAACAAGUUAAAACGAAACAAACAAAAAACAACAAUAAAAGAAACACUAAAACAUAAACCUAUAAAUAAA